rnacentral:rRNA from 1 species
UUUUCGGAUGGAUCUGAUUUAACUUAGUGGCGGACGGGUGAGUAAUGCGUGGGCAACCUGCCCUUCAGAGGGGGACAACAGUUGGAAACGACUGCUAAUACCGCAUAAUGUAUUUGGAAGGCAUCUUCUGGAUACCAAAGGAGAAAUCCGCUGAUGGAUGGGCUCACGUCUGAUUAGUUAGUUGGUGGGGUAACGGCCUACCAAGACUGCGAUCAGUAGCCGGACUGAGAGGUUGAACGGCCACAUUGGGACUGAGAUACGGCCCAGACUCC